GGUAAUAGAUCAGUGGUAGAUCAUCUGCCUUGCAUGCAGAAGCUCCCUGGUUCAGUUCCUGGCAUCUCCA